AGAUAAUAAAUAAUGCGAGUGUGAUAUCAACGAGAAAGCAGCGAAGAAAAU
rnacentral:guide_RNA from 1 species